GAUGAACGCUGGCGGCGUGCCUAAUACAUGCAAGUCGAGCGAACGGACGAGAAGCUUGCUUCUCUGAUGUUAGCGGCGGACGGGUGAGUAACACGUGGAUAACCUACCUAUAAGACUGGGAUAACUUCGGGAAACCGGAGCUAAUACCGGAUAAUAUUUUGAACCGCAUGGUUCAAAAGUGAAAGACGGUCUUGCUGUCACUUAUAGAUGGAUCCGCGCUGCAUUAGCUAGUUGGUAAGGUAACGGCUUACCAAGGCAACGAUGCAUAGCCGACCUGAGAGGGUGAUCGGCCACACUGGAACUGAGACACGGUCCAGACUCCUACGGGAGGCAGCAGUAGGGAAUCUUCCGCAAUGGGCGAAAGCCUGACGGAGCGACGCCGCGUGAGUGAUGAAGGUCUUCGGAUCGUAAAACUCUGUUAUUAGGGAAGAACAUAUGUGUAAGUAACUGUGCACAUCUUGACGGUACCUAAUCAGAAAGCCACGGCUAACUACGUGCCAGCAGCCGCGGUAAUACGUAGGUGGCAAGCGUUAUCCGGAAUUAUUGGGCGUAAAGCGCGCGUAGGCGGUUUUUUAAGUCUGAUGUGAAAGCCCACGGCUCAACCGUGGAGGGUCAUUGGAAACUGGAAAACUUGAGUGCAGAAGAGGAAAGUGGAAUUCCAUGUGUAGCGGUGAAAUGCGCAGAGAUAUGGAGGAACACCAGUGGCGAAGGCGACUUUCUGGUCUGUAACUGACGCUGAUGUGCGAAAGCGUGGGGAUCAAACAGGAUUAGAUACCCUGGUAGCCCACGCCGUAAACGAUGAGUGCUAAGUGUUAGGGGGUUUCCGCCCCUUAGUGCUGCAGCUAACGCAUUAAGCACUCCGCCUGGGGAGUACGACCGCAAGGUUGAAACUCAAAGGAAUUGACGGGGACCCGCACAAGCGGUGGAGCAUGUGGUUUAAUUCGAAGCAACGCGAAGAACCUUACCAAAUCUUGACAUCCUUUGACAACUCUAGAGAUAGAGCCUUCCCCUUCGGGGGACAAAGUGACAGGUGGUGCAUGGUUGUCGUCAGCUCGUGUCGUGAGAUGUUGGGUUAAGUCCCGCAACGAGCGCAACCCUUAAGCUUAGUUGCCAUCAUUAAGUUGGGCACUCUAAGUUGACUGCCGGUGACAAACCGGAGGAAGGUGGGGAUGACGUCAAAUCAUCAUGCCCCUUAUGAUUUGGGCUACACACGUGCUACAAUGGACAAUACAAAGGGCAGCGAAACCGCGAGGUCAAGCAAAUCCCAUAAAGUUGUUCUCAGUUCGGAUUGUAGUCUGCAACUCGACUACAUGAAGCUGGAAUCGCUAGUAAUCGUAGAUCAGCAUGCUACGGUGAAUACGUUCCCGGGUCU
rnacentral:rRNA from 1 species